AACGCACAUUGCGCCCGCCAGCACUCUGGCGGGCAUGCCUGUCCGAGCGUCAUUUCGACCCUCGGGGCCCCCCGGGGCCCCGGCGUUGGGGGACGGCCGCACCGCCGCCCCCGAAAUGCAGUGGCGACCCCGCCGCGCCCCUCCCCUGCGCAGUAAGCAAACCUCGCACCGGGAGGCGCGGAGGCGGUCACGCCGUGAAACGAAACGCUCAGUCCGUAGAGUUGACCUCGGAUCAGGUAGGAGUACCCGCUGAACUUAA
rnacentral:misc_RNA from 1 species